AACGAACGCUGGCGGCAGGCUUAACACAUGCGAGUCGAGCGCGUAGCAAUACGAGCGGCAGACGGGUGAGUAACGCGUGGGAAUCUACCGAGCCCUAAGGAAUAGCUCCGGGAAACUGGAAUUAAUACCUUAUACGCCCUUUGGGGGCAAGAUUUAUCGGGGUUUGAUGAGCCCGCGUUGGAUUAGCUAGUUGGUGGGGUAAAGGCCUACCAAGGCGACGAUCCAUAGCAGGUCUGAGAGGAUGAUCAGCCACAUUGGGACUGAGACACGGCCCAAACUCCUACGGGAGGCAGCAGUGGGGAAUAUUGGACAAUGGGCGCAAGCCUGAUCCAGCCAUGCCGCGUGAGUGAUGAAGGCCCUAGGGUUGUAAAGCUCUUUCACCGGUGAGGAUAAUGACGGUAACCGGAGAAGAAGCCCCGGCUAACUUCGUGCCAGCAGCCGCAGUAACAC
rnacentral:rRNA from 1 species